rnacentral:rRNA from 1 species
AUUGAACGCUGGCGGCAUGCCUUACACAUGCAAGUCGAACGGCAGCACGGGUGCUUGCACCUGGUGGCGUGUGGCGAACGGGUGAGUAAUACAUCGGAACGUACCUUAUCGUGGGAGAUAACGCAGCGAAAGCUGUGCUAAUACCGCAUACGCCCUGAGGGGGAAAGCGGGGGAUCGCAAGACCUCGCGCGAUUAGAGAGGCCGAUGCCUGAUUAGCUUGUUUGUGGGGUAAAAGCCCACCAAGGCGACGAUCAGUAGCUGGUCUGAGAGGACGAUCAACCACACUGGGACUGAGACACGGCCCAGACUCCUACGGGAGGCAGCAGUGGGGAAUUUUGGACAAUGGGGGCAACCCUGAUCCAGCAAUGCCGCGUGAGUGAAGAAGGCCUUCGGGUUGUAAAGCUCUUUUGUCAGGGAAGAAACACCGGCUCUAACACAGUCUGGGAAUGACGGUACCUGAAGAAUAAGCACCGGCUAACUACGUGCCAGCCGCCGCAGUAA